rnacentral:rRNA from 1 species
UACGGGGGGAGCAAGCGUUGUUCGGAUUUACUGGGCGUAAAGGGCGCGUAGGCGGCCACGACAAGUCACUUGUGAAAUCUCCGGGCUUAACUCGGAAAGGUCAAGUGAUACUGUCGGGCUAGAGUACAGAAGGGGCAACUGGAAUUCUCGGUGUAGCGGUGAAAUGCGUAGAUAUCAAGAGGAACACCUGAGGCGAAGGCGGGUUGCUAGGCUGACACUGACGCUGAGGCGCGAAAGCCAGGGGAGCAAACGGG